AUAAAUAUUAUUAAAAAAAAUUAAUAAUCAAUAGACAACCUAUUCAGUACCUUUUACCUUAUUCACUUUCUCUCACUAAAUUCCUAAAAACCCUAAAUUCUUCCCUUUCCCUCUCUACGCUCAGCCGCUCAAGGCCUCAAGCUGCCACGAGUUACGACCACCCCACCCCACUGCCACGGCGCCACCCCACCCCACCACCAGUCCACCAUGCUCCAGAUCUCCUUCAGUACACUCGCCCAGAUCUCCUACUACUCGUAUUUGCUCGGCUAAUCUCCGCCUCUCCGGUAAAUGGAUGAAACCGUUGAUAUGACAAGUGAUAGUGCCACUCCUUUGAAUGAAGAAGGUACACAAAUUCCAGAAAAUCCAACUCCACAAUUUGAACCAGAAGUUCAAGAUGUUCCUAAUUCAAAUAAAAGACCAAAUGAAGAAGCUGCUCCAAGUAAAGGUAAAAAAAAAAACGAUCUUGGAUUUGGGAACAUUUUGAGAAAAUCAAUAAAAAUGGGGUUGAAAGAUCAAAAUGCUUGUAUUGUAAAAUUGAUGUUUCUGGUAGUAUUAUUGAUACUGUUUUUUUUUAUUUUUUUGUGCUACUGUUUUUAUUAUUUAGUAAAAUGUAAUAUUGAGACUUUGGUAAACUUUGUAAUAUUGAGACUUUAUUAAGCUUGGUAUUUUUAAUUUGAGGAGUUAGAUUUGUAAUGCACUAAGAUUGCUAGUAUGCUACUGCAGUUCUGCUUGUAUUUGAGAAGUUUAUUUAAUGGUUUUUUUUAAUUAAUUUAAUUUGCAAAAAAGACUACUACAAUUAUUGUACAGGUUUUUCAAAAAAAAAAAAAAA